AUUUCUGCUACAGCUUCCUGUCCUUGACCCAACGAUACAUUGUGAAGUUCUCCUGAGUCAAUGAAUCCUGAUAAAAUGCAGUAAAGGAUUUAAGGUUAUCAUCUGUCUCUCUCUAACUUCUGACAUCUCUUUAUAACAAGAAAGAGUCACAGCCAACUGUAACAGGAGGGCAGCACAAUGAAUCCUGGUGCUGAAGACCCCGUUGAUCCCUCAGUUUUGCCCAGUUGUGCUUGAUGUCUCAUUGGUGAAAGCAACAGGGUGCAGCACCAGAGUCAGCCGAGGAAAGGGAGACAUGCUGUGCGGAAAUUAGAUGGUUUUUAAAGCACUCUGAUGAUGGAAAAGAUACGCAAGUACAAGUGAUAUCACCUGACAACAUUUGCUUACUAUUAAGGCUUCUCAGCCAGAAGAAUAUCCUGAAGGAAAUUACUGUCAGCAUCCAAAAAAAGUAUCUGCAAUUCAUCCUAAAGAACUGUCAACUUAAAGUAUUUUUCUGCUUUUUGAGUUCAGGCUGAAGUGCACUGAGGCAGGGAAACUGCGUGCUGCUACGGGUACUGAGAAGCAAACAAGAAGUAACAGUCUAACUAAGCAGCAAAGAUCAGAGCCGAAGGAAUUCAGUGCCAUUGCAUUAACAGCACUUUGUCUCCAGCCUGCGCUGCAGGUGUUUCAAUGAGAACACAGAAGGUUAUGUCGCAGCACCUUUUUUCUACAGAUUAAGGGAGACUGUUCUAACACUCCUGGCUUCUGCUGCCCAGGUACCCCUUUGGUCCUGUGGAGAGUCACACAGUGCUCAUCAGAUGAUGUGCAGCCUCUUAUGUCCACUGGUAUAUGGGAGUAAAGCAAGGAAAAGAGAAUACCAAAGCGUUAGUGGUUUGGUGUCCCUGACACACAGUGUAGGAAGUUGAAAGAAACUGCAAAAACUCUGAGUUAUUUUCUGUAGUAGCCUGGCAUUCAGAGGGACUCAGGAUAUGGAGACAGACCAUGCCACUGCAUGCUGUUUCCCUGCUUCCCCAGGCUAGCUUUCUGGGGAAAGUUAAUGAUUCAUAAGAUUCUGCACUGAUUUCACUGUGAGCUUCCACAUUUGCAUAAGUAAAAGCUUGUGCAGCUUCUGUGGGGAGAUUCUUAGUGAAAUUGCAGUACAAAACAUUGAUAUUAUGUAAUUAUAGUAGUUCAUCGUAACUUAAAUGAAAUUGUUACUUUAAACUUGCUCUAAGUGGCUCACAAUGGAACUUUUGUAUGACACACCUACAAAACAAAUGAGUUAAUCACAAUAUGUGUCAUUUUUAAUUUUUCUCUUUCAUUUUUCCUUCAGUCAUUCUCUCUUUGUAAUUAGCAUGAAGACUAUCCUUCAGUCAAAACUAGCCACCUGGAAAGUUUCAGCUUGUAAUAUGCAGCUUUUUUUUUUGUGAAUUAUGAAUGUGCAAAAAGAGAGACCUUUCUCCCCACACCCCCUUCCUUGCAUAAUUCAAAUGUGAGUGAAUGAAUUUUAUUCAGACUCAUCAAAAAGAAAAAAAAAUCAUAUUUCAGCUGAUAACAAGCAUGAAAUAUUUCAGAUGAAAGAGGUUUUUUUUUAAAAAGAAGAGUAUUAUGAGCAUGGGAGAACAGCAGGUUAAGACGGAAGUCUCAGUGCUGCCUUAACUGUAACAAUUGCUAGCAAGCAAAUACUAUAUCCCAGCACUAAAUCUUGCUUUGUGCUGCCCUGGUGCACAGUAGUGGGGAGAGAAUAGAAUAAUAAAAGCCGGUCCCCUUAUGCAAACAGCAGGGCAUAGCACUCAACAGAAUACAAGAAGAAGGUGAGCCUGCCUACUGUUCUGGCUUGCUAACCAUAUUCCCGAGGUCUGUGGGUUAGUUGUCACCUCUAGCUCCAGCCAGCGAGCAAAUGUACUUCAAACAGUAGCAAGGGGCACGUUUUGGUCCUUCCCAGAAGAACAUUUUACCAAUUCAUUGCCUCCACAUACACUGUUCUAUUAAAUAAAGUAUUUGAAGGAAGUUCAUAUAAGCAACACGGUGGUUUAACAGGUCAAAAAGGGAAUGGAACAGCUGCUAGACAUUUUCUGAUUAACCAUGUAUUUUUAAAAAUAUGGAGCUGUGAAGAAGGUAUUACAUGCAAACCCUCACUUACCUUACUGUUUUUCAAGCAAAGUAGGCUGAGAUUUUGGCUCACGCCUGUACAACUUUGAAAAUGAACUAAUGCAGGAAUGAAAGACUGUGAUCUGGAACGCAUUUCUGCAUCACAUUUUCUCUUGUUCCUAAUACUGCUCAGUUGAUAAGCCGAGCUCUCGUUUACUACCUCGAAAAAGGGAUUAAAGAAACAUUCAUUUACUAACUGUUUAUCAAAGAGCUGCCCACUACCGUGGCUAAACAGUAUUCAGUACUUCAGUAUUACCUUAGGGAUUCACGUUGAUUAGAGGAGCAACAGGAAGGAUUUGCGUGUGGCAUAAAAAAAUCCCCUUCUGUUCUGACAGGAGUUGACUGUUGCAAGUUGAGUUUGGCAGUAAGUGACCAAAAUUGAGUUGUCAGCAUCCUCUUGCAUAGUGGAAAAAGUUGUUCCUUUCUUGUGCAGAUGCACGAGUUUCUGUGGGAAAACAGAACAUAAUCACGGUUCUGAAUGUCUCUGUGGAUUGGUAAUGUCUCUAAUACAUAGAUCACUUGUGCAAAUUCAGUCCCAGCUGGAUGGGAAAUUAUUGAAAAUGGUUGUUGUUUGAUUGAUAUAAAAUGAGUUGUCAGCUUGAUUCAAUGCCUCCAGGGCAGAUGUCCGCAGCAUAAUUGGCACCUGUCAGAAGCAAAGAAUUCCUUGGUACAGAGUAACAACUACUCAUGCAACCACCCAAAAUAGUCCUUGCGUGCCAGGGCUCAGAGAAGGCAGCAGGAAAAAACAGUUUCUACUUUUGGGCAGGAUCUUUUAUGCCAUAAAGUCAAUAAGAGAUUUGAUGUGACACUUGGUGCAAGCUUUUCCCUGGGAUCCUGGCUAGAUGCUAUCAGCUCUCCUGCUGUUUGGUCAACAGUUUCCCUAAGAAUAAAAAAAACCCCACACGUUUGGCUAUUUGUUACUAUCGUCAUGGUAAAGGUAUAUAUAUAAAGAAUGGUUAAUAAAGAAAUCUUUACAUAUUUGCUUAUUCUAAGAAAUGUUGUGAACAAUUUUAUUUUCCCUUUUCUUGAGCAAUUCUCAUCACAGCAAAAUAACUUUGCCACACAACUAGGGAAAUCAGAGAGCGUCUUCUCAGCAAGAAGUAGGGCAAAGAAACAGCCAGGACUGAGAGUACAGCAGUGUCAGAAUUACACUGUUUGUUAGUAGUAAACAGUGACCUGUUGUUUACCACAGACUCGAUUAAAAUGGAUUUUUUUCCUAUAAAUCACCAAAUAGCUGUCAUAUGGUUAUUACUGCCUUUGACCGAGUGUGGUACAGCUAACAAUAGGAACGAAUUCAAUUUUCCAUCACCAAUCUGUCGAGCUGGCCACCUUCUUCAUGGAGCUGGUGCUUUGGGAGGUACCAGCUGAAGGGCUUUCCAUUAAAAUUCAUUUUACUGUCUUCAUCUAGCACAUGGCUCAACUUUCCUUCUAUGCUUUCAUCUCUUUUUCCUCCUUUAGAUUAUUUUUCAUUAUGCCUCCCCCCCCAACAUACACAGCCUUUGCCUUUCAUCUCUAUAUGUAUGCUAUUCCAGCACUUGUCAGCCCCAGCAGGAGGGACAUGCUAGAACCAAACAAUAUGAUACGUUAGGUGGAAGAAAAUAUUAUUAUCAGACACCUUAGAAUAAUCAUUUAUUGUCACACUUUAAAGAGAUCUGCUAUGUUAUUUAUUUUACUAUUUUGUAUUAGGUGCAUGGUUUAAUUUUACAGGCAUUAUUAAUCACUAAAAUAUAUUACACUUUCAGCCCGGAUGUUAACAUUUUAAAUGCAUUCAUCUUGCUUCUUUAAACAGAAACAAUGGACCUUCUGCACAGCUCUCCCUCCCCUCUAGUCAAUAAAUCCUUUCUAUUGAUUCAGGAAGUAACUCUAAGCACUGUUUUAUAUUUUAAGUUCCACUAGCCACACUCAGCCAUAUAAUUUCGCUUAAUAACAAAUGGAUCUUCUAUUUUUGCUGGUUACUACAUGUUUGGUUAUCAAACUCAGCUUGAAAGUACUGGGUAGAAGAGCACAAAACCUAUAAUGGCAGUGAAGCACCACAAGAGAUUUCCUAAAUGAAUGUUACAAUAACAUAAAGUAUCUGUAAAAAGAGAGUGUGUGUGCGCGCAUGUGUAUAAAAAGCAGCCUCAUCAGUAGAUGAAUGAUAAAUGAAAAAUCCAUCAGUGCGUAUGGAUUCCCUUGAGCCAGCCUGGAUCAACAGACAAUAUGGAUUUUUGAUAAUUCAUGGCUUUGCCAUUAUUUAUUCUCUCCUGAAAUACCCAUUGCAAAUCUCAGAGAGAUAAUUAGAGAAUUAUCAUAUUGCUUAACUAAGUAGUGCAAAUUGUAUUAUAUUCUCUGUAUCCCAACCCAGGGCAGUAUCAUUAGCGUUGUUUAAUUGUUACAAAUAUAGUCAUCGCAUUUUAAUAAAUUGCCUUCAUUGUCAAUAUCUA